AUGAACGCUAGCUACAGGCUUAACACAUGCAAGUCGAGGGGCAGCAUGAACUUAGCUUGCUAAGUUUGAUGGCGACCGGCGCACGGGUGAGUAACACGUAUCCAACCUGCCGAUGACUCGGGGAUAGCCUUUCGAAAGAAAGAUUAAUACCCGAUGGCAUAGUUCUUUCGCAUGGUGGAACUAUUAAAGAAUUUCGGUCAUCGAUGGGGAUGCGUUCCAUUAGGUUGUUGGCGGGGUAACGGCCCACCAAGCCUUCGAUGGAUAGGGGUUCUGAGAGGAAGGUCCCCCACAUUGGAACUGAGACACGGUCCAAACUCCUACGGGAGGCAGCAGUGAGGAAUAUUGGUCAAUGGACGAGAGUCUGAACCAGCCAAGUAGCGUGAAGGAUGACUGCCCUAUGGGUUGUAAACUUCUUUUAUACGGGAAUAAAGUGAGGCACGUGUGCCUUUUUGUAUGUACCGUAUGAAUAAGGAUCGGCUAACUCCGUGCCAGCAGCCGCGGUAAUACGGAGGAUUCGAGCGUUAUCCGGAUUUAUUGGGUUUAAAGGGAGCGUAGGCGGACGCUUAAGUCAGUUGUGAAAGUUUGCGGCUCAACCGUAAAAUUGCAGUUGAUACUGGGUGUCUUGAGUACAGUAGAGGCAGGCGGAAUUCGUGGUGUAGCGGUGAAAUGCUUAGAUAUCACGAAGAACUCCGAUUGCGAAGGCAGCUUGCUGGACUGUAACUGACGCUGAUGCUCGAAAGUGUGGGUAUCAAACAGGAUUAGAUACCCUGGUAGUCCACACAGUAAACGAUGAAUACUCGCUGUUUGCGAUAUACAGUAAGCGGCCAAGCGAAAGCGUUAAGUGUUCCACCUGGGGAGUACGCCGGCAACGGUGAAACUCAAAGGAAUUGACGGGGGCCCGCACAAGCGGUGGAGCAUGUGGUUUAAUUCGAAGCAACGCGAAGAACCUUACCAGGUCUUGACAUCGAUCUAAAGGCUCCAGAGAUGGAGAGAUAGCUAUAGAGAAGACAGGUGGUGCAUGGUUGUCGUCAGCUCGUGCCGUGAGGUGUCGGCUUAAGUGCCAUAACGAGCGCAACCCUUAUCGAUAGUUACCAUCAGGUGAUGCUGGGGACUCUGUCGAGACUGCCGUCGUAAGAUGUGAGGAAGGUGGGGAUGACGUCAAAUCAGCACGGCCCUUACGUCCGGGGCUACACACGUGUUACAAUGGGGGGUACAGAAGGCAGCUACACGGCGACGUGAUGCUAAUCCCUAAAGCCUCUCUCAGUUCGGAUUGGAGUCUGCAACCCGACUCCAUGAAGCUGGAUUCGCUAGUAAUCGCGCAUCAGCCACGGCGCGGUGAAUACGUUCCCGGGCCUUGUACACACCGCCCGUCAAGCCAUGAAAGCCGGGGGUACCUGAAGUGCGUAACCGCAAGGAGCGCCCUAGGGUAAAACUGGUGAUUGGGGCU
rnacentral:rRNA from 1 species